ACGAAAGCUGACGGAUCACGCCGCGUGAGUGAUGAAGGUUUCGGAUCGUAAAACUCUGUUGUUAGGGAAGAACAAGGCCAUAGUAACUGAUGGCACCUUGACGGUACCUAACCAGAAAGCCACGGCUAACUACGUGCCAGCAGCCGCGGUAAUACGUAGGUGGCAAGCGUUGUCCGGAAUUAUUGGGCGUAAAGCGCUCGCAGGCGGUUCUUUAAGUCUGAUGUGAAAUCUUACGGCUCAACCGUAAACGUGCAUUGGAAACUGGGGAACUUGAGUGCAGAAGAGGAGAGUGGAAUUCCACGUGUAGCGGUGAAAUGCGUAGAGAUGUGGAGGAACACCAGUGGCGAAGGCGACUCUCUGGUCUGUAACUGACGCUGAGGAGCGAAAGCGUGGGGAGCGAACAGGAUUAGAUACCCUGGUAGUCCACGCCGUAAACGAUGAGUGCUAGGUGUUAGGGGGUUUCCGGCCCUUAGUGCUGAAGUUAACGCAUUAAGCACUCCGCCU
rnacentral:rRNA from 1 species